AAGGAUUUAAGUUAAUUAAACUAAUCGCCUUCAAAGCUUUAAAUAAAGAUAAAAAUACCUUUAAGCCUUG
rnacentral:tRNA from 1 species